rnacentral:ncRNA from 1 species
AGUCUUUGGGGCAGGGUGCGAUUCCCUACCGAUGGUUAAAGUCCAUGAACCACGAAAGUGGCCGAACUGGUGUGAUUCCAGUACCGACGGUUAUAGUCCGGAUGAGAAAAGAC